GCCAGAGUGGUUUAAUGGUUUGGGUGUUGGACUAGGAUUCUGGAAGAUCAGGGUUCAAAUUCCCUGCUUAGCCA